GAUGAACGCUGGCGGCGUGCCUAAUACAUGCAAGUCGAGCGAACGGACGAGAAGCUUGCUUCUCUGAUGUUAGCGGCGGACGGGUGAGUAACACGUGGAUAACCUACCUAUAAGACUGGGAUAACUUCGGGAAACCGGAGCUAAUACCGGAUAAUAUUUUGAACCGCAUGGUUCAAAAGUGAAAGACGGUCUUGCUGUCACUUAUAGAUGGAUCCGCGCUGCAUUAGCUAGUUGGUAAGGUAACGGCGUACCAAGGCAACGAUGCAUAGCCGACCUGAGAGGGUGAUCGGCCACACUGGAACUGAGACACGGUCCAGACUCCUACGGGAGGCAGCAGUAGGGAAUCUUCCGCAAUGGGCGAAAGCCUGACGGAGCAACGCCGCGUGAGUGAUGAAGGUCUUCGGAUCGUAAAACUCUGUUAUUAGGGAAGAAAAUAUGUGUAAGUAACUGUGCACAUCUUGACGGUACCUAAUCAGAAAGCCACGGCUAACUACGUG
rnacentral:rRNA from 1 species